UACCAGCACCCCGAGUGGUCGGGACGUUUAUUGGGCCUAAAGCAUCCGUAGCCGGUUCUGCAAGUCUUCCGUUAAAUCCACCUGCUUAACAGAUGGGCCGCGGAAGAUACUAUAGAGCUAGGAGGCGGGAGAGGCAAGCGGUACUCGAUGGGUAGGGGUAAAAUCCGUUGAUCCAUUGAAGACCACCAGUGGCGAAGGCGGCUUGCCAGAACGCGCUCGACGGUGAGGGAUGAAGCUGGGGGAGCAAACCGG
rnacentral:rRNA from 1 species